rnacentral:rRNA from 1 species
UACGGGGGUUGCAAGCGUUGUUCGGAAUAACUGGGCGUAAAGCGAGCGCAGGCGGUUGAAUAAGUCUGAAGUGAAAUUCCGGGGCUCAACUCCGGACCUGCUUUGGAUACUGUUCAGCUAGAGUACGUGAGAGGAGAGUGGAAUUCCAGGUGUAGCGGUGAAAUGCGUAGAUAUCUGGAGGAACACCGGUGGCGAAAGCGGCUCUCUGGCACAGUACUGACGCUGAGGCUCGAAAGCGUGGGGAGCAAACGGG